rnacentral:rRNA from 1 species
GAUGAACGCUAGCGACAGGCUUAACACAUGCAAGUCGAGGGGCAGCAUAAAAGUAGCAAUACUUUGGUGGCGACCGGCGCACGGGUGAGUAACGCGUAUGCAACCUACCUAUCAGAGGGGAAUAACCCGGCGAAAGUCGGACUAAUACCGCAUAAAACAGGGGCACCGCAUGGUGAUAUUUGUUAAAGAAAUUCGCUGAUAGAUGGGCAUGCGUUCCAUUAGGUAGUUGGUGAGGUAACGGCUCACCAAGCCGACGAUGGAUAGGGGAACUGAGAUGUUGGUCCCCCCCACUGGUACUGAGACACGGACCAGACUCCUACGGGAGGCAGCAGUGAGGAAUAUUGGUCAAUGGGCGAGAGCCUGAACCAGCCAAGUCGCGUGAAGGAAGAAGGAUCUAUGGUUCGUAAACUCCUUUUGCAGGGGAAUAAAGUGCGGGACGUGUCCUGUUUUGUAUGUACCCUGAGAAUAAGGAUCGGCUAACUCCGUGCCAGCAGCCGCGGUAA